rnacentral:misc_RNA from 1 species
GUUUGAGAACAUUUAUAAGUAUCACAAAAGGACUAAAGAUGGAAGAUCAGGGAAAGCGAAUGGGAAAAAUUAUAGGUAUUUUGAGCAAUUAGAAGCUCUAGAUAAUAAUCCAUUGCUUCCCUCUCAAGCUGAUUCAAUGGAAGAAAUCCCAAGGAUUAUCCCAAACAAUGUUGUGCACAAUGCAAUUCCAUGUUCCGUAGUAAAC